rnacentral:rRNA from 1 species
AAUAUUGGACAAUGGGCGAAAGCCUGAUCCAGCAAUGCCGCGUGAGUGAAGAAGGCCUUCGGGUUGUAAAGCUCUUUUGUCAGGGAAGAAACGGCCUCAGCUAAUAUCUGGGGCUAAUGACGGUACCUGAAGAAUAAGCACCGGCUAACUACGUGCCAGCAGCCGCGGUAAUACGUAGGGGGCAAGCGUUGUCCGGAUUUAUUGGGCGUAAAGAGCGUGUAGGCGGCCGCACAGGUCCGUUGUGAAAACUGGAGGCUUAACCUUCAGACGUCGAUGGAAACCGUGCGGCUAGAGUCCGGAAGAGGAGAGUGGAAUUCCUGGUGUAGCGGUGAAAUGCGCAGAUAUCAGGAAGAACACCCGUGGCUAAGGCGGCUCUCUAGUACGGUACUGACGCUGAGACGCGAAAGCGUGGGGAGCGAAC